UACGGGGGGGGCAAGCGUUGUUCGGAAUUACUGGGCGUAAAGGGCUCGUAGGUGGCCAACUAAGUCAUACGUGAAAUCCCUCGGCUUAACCGGGGAACUGCGUCUGAUACUGGAUGGCUUGAGUUCGGGAGAGGGAUGCGGAAUUCCAGGUGUAGCGGUGAAAUGCGUAGAUAUCUGGAGGAACACCGAUGGCGAAGGCAGGUCUCUGGGCCACUACUGACGCUGAGAAGCGAAAGCAUGGGGAGCGAACAGG
rnacentral:rRNA from 1 species